rnacentral:rRNA from 1 species
AGAGUUUGAUCCUGGCUCAGGACGAACGCUGGCGGCGCGCCUAACACAUGCAAGUCGAACGAGAGAUGAAGAGCUUGCUCUUCAAAUCGAGUGGCGAACGGGUGAGUAACGCGUGAGGAACCUGCCUCAAAGAGGGGGACAACAGUUGGAAACGACUGCUAAUACCGCAUAAGCCCACGGCUCGGCAUCGAGCAGAGGGAAAAGGAGCAAUCCGCUUUGAGAUGGCCUCGCGUCCGAUUAGCUAGUUGGUGAGGUAACGGCCCACCAAGGCGACGAUCGGUAGCCGGACUGAGAGGUUGAACGGCCACAUUGGGACUGAGACACGGCCCAGACUCCUACGGGAGGCAGCAGUGGGGAAUAUUGCACAAUGGGGGAAACCCUGAUGCAGCGACGCCGCGUGGAGGAAGAAGGUCUUCGGAUUGUAAACUCCUGUUGUUGAGGAAGAUAAUGACGGUACUCAACAAGGAAGUGACGGCUAACUACGUGCCAGCAGCCGCGGUAAAACGUAGGUCACAAGCGUUGUCCGGAAUUACUGGGUGUAAAGGGAGCGCAGGCGGGAGAACAAGUUGGAAGUGAAAUCCAUGGGCUCAACCCAUGAACUGCUUUCAAAACUGUUUUUCUUGAGUAGUGCAGAGGUAGGCGGAAUUCCCGGUGUAGCGGUGGAAUGCGUAGAUAUCGGGAGGAACACCAGUGGCGAAGGCGGCCUACUGGGCACCAACUGACGCUGAGGCUCGAAAGUGUGGGUAGCAAACAGGAUUAGAUACCCUGGUAGUCCACACCGUAAACGAUGAUUACUAGGUGUUGGAGGAUUGACCCCUUCAGUGCCGCAGUUAACACAAUAAGUAAUCCACCUGGGGAGUACGACCGCAAGGUUGAAACUCAAAGGAAUUGACGGGGGCCCGCACAAGCAGUGGAGUAUGUGGUUUAAUUCGACGCAACGCGAAGAACCUUACCAAGUCUUGACAUCCCUUGACGAUGCUGGAAACAGUAUUUCUCUUCGGAGCAAGGAGACAGGUGGUGCAUGGUUGUCGUCAGCUCGUGUCGUGAGAUGUUGGGUUAAGUCCCGCAACGAGCGCAACCCUUAU